rfam:Gossypium hirsutum cultivar TM-1 unplaced genomic scaffold scaffold568.1, whole genome shotgun sequence
UAUUAAAAAUUUCAUUCAUUUCUUUUGUUAAAAAUUGACGUGAUUAACAGAAUAAUCACAAUUACAUGUGGCGUAUCAAGUGUACCUCGUGCUGACGUAUAGGAUCUAGUUUUUAAUAGUAGAAAUGGAUGGAAGUUUUAACA